GCGGGAAUGGCGGAACGGCAGACGCGCAAGAUUUAGGAUCUUGUGGGGCAACCCGUGGGGGUUCGAGUCCCCCUUCCCGCACCA
rnacentral:tRNA from 1 species